UACGUAGGGGGCGAGCGUUGUCCGGAUUUAUUGGGCGUAAAGAGCGUGUAGGCGGUCCGGUAAGUCCGCUGUGAAAGUCGGGGGCUCAACCCUCGAAUGCCGGUGGAUACUGUCGGGCUAGAGUACGGAAGAGGCGAGUGGAAUUCCUGGUGUAGCGGUGAAAUGCGCAGAUAUCAGGAGGAACACCAAUUGCGAAGGCAGCUCGCUGGGACGUUACUGACGCUGAGACGCGAAAGCGUGGGGAGCAAACAGG
rnacentral:rRNA from 1 species